rnacentral:rRNA from 1 species
UACGUAGGGUGCGAGCGUUGUCCGGAAUUACUGGGCGUAAAGAGCUCGUAGGUGGUUUGUCGCGUUGUCCGUGAAAACUCACAGCUCAACUGUGGGCGUGCGGGCGAUACGGGCAGACUGGAGUACUGCAGGGGAGACUGGAAUUCCUGGUGUAGCGGUGGAAUGCGCAGAUAGUCAGGAGGAACACCGGUGGCGAAGGCGGGUCUCUGGGCAGUAACUGAC